CGGGACGGGUGAGUAACGCGUGGGUAACCUGCCUUGUACUGGGGACGAACAGUUAGAAAUGACUGCUAAUACCGCAUAAGCGCGCAGUAUCGCAUGAUACAGUGUGAAAAACUCCGGUGGUACAAGAUGGACCCGCGUCUGAUUAGCUAGUUGGUAAGGUAACGGCUUACCAAGGCGACGAUCAGUAGCCGACCUGAGAGGGUGACUGGCCACAUUGGGACUGAGACACGGCCCAA
rnacentral:rRNA from 1 species